GGAGCCUUGGCGCAAUGGUAGCGCGUUGGUUUUCGGUACGCUCGGUUCUCCUUCGGAGCAUCUCGGGUUAAGCUUGCAUCACCAAAGGUUGUGGGUUCGAGCCCCAUGGGCUUCG